rnacentral:rRNA from 1 species
GACGAACCGUGCGAACGUUGUUCGGAAUCACUGGGCUUAAAGGGCGCGUAGGCGGCCCGCCGCGUCCGGGGUGAAAUCCUCCCGCUCAACGGGAGAACGGCCUCGGAUACGGGCGGGCUGGAGGCGGGUAGGGGCGGGCGGAACUGUGGGUGGAGCGGUGAAAUGCGUUGAUAUCCACAGGAACUCCGGUGGCGAAGGCGGCACGCUGGACCCCACCUGACGCUGAGGCGCGAAAGCCAGGGGAGCAAACGGG